GGGGAAUAUUGGGCAAUGGACGCAAGUCUGACCCAGCAACGCCGCGUGAAGGAAGAAGGCUUUCGGGUUGUAAACUUCUUUUAAGGGGGAAGAGUAGAAGACGGUACCCCUUGAAUAAGCCACGGCUAACUACGUGCCAGCAGCCGCGGUAAUACGUAGGUGGCGAGCGUUGUCCGGAAUUACUGGGCGUAAAGGGCGCGUAGGCGGCUCUUUAAGUUAGAUGUGAAAACCCAGGGCUCAACCCUGGGAGUGCAUUUAAAACUGAAGGGCUCGAGUGCAGGAGAGGUAAGUGGAAUUCCUAGUGUAGCGGUGAAAUGCGUAGAUAUUAGGAGGAACACCAGUGGCGAAGGCGACUUACUGGACUGUAACUGACGCUGAGGCGCGAAAGCGUGGGGAGCAAACA
rnacentral:rRNA from 2 species